rnacentral:snoRNA from 2 species
AAGGCCGUACUUACUAGGAUUAUUUCUAUAGUACGCGACCCGUCUUUGUAAUCUUACAGAGACAACAACGAUACCCACGGUGACGAUGCAAAGCUUGAUCCUCUGAGCGCGAAGAGCUCUGACACAAGCACCAGAAUAAGAUGAUCCGCAUGGUUUUACAGAUAAACAAUAGCAUCGAUUGAAAUUCAUUUAAAAUCCGAAAUUCGACCGUCAAAGCAGUCAAAAUACGGAGUAUUGCGCAUUCAGAGUGGG